CCCAUUGCCAUCCCUAGCGAUAAUAACAAGAUUGUUUGGAGAAGGUUUGAAAUGAGUAAAUAGUAUUGGAGGUAAAACAGUUUGGGUGUCUGAACAUUAGUGAGAUCAUACGUGAGCAUUACCAGGGUCAUGGAACUUGAGUUUUGAAGCCAUGCUUCCCUGUUAGCUUACAAAGGAAACUUCUGACACAGAAAACCUAAAAGAACACACACAAAAAAAUGAUACUAAUAUUAAUGUCAGAGCAGUUGUUAUGCUGGCUAUUCCUGUGUUAAAUGUACAGAAUGUAUUGUUGGAAGGUGAUUUUGGCUGUAUAUGUUUGUGGCUGUAAAUCAAUAUAAUGUUCUUUGCUGGUCUAAUUAGUUUAAGGUCAUAACUAAUUCUUACGUCUAUUUACCGUUAAAACUUUACCUUGUGUGAGAGAACAUCUUCCCAAUAGGUGCGUCUACCAGUGAUGAAUGUGGCUUGAGUUCUAAACUUGUAGUAUGACCAACAUUUGGCUUAAAUUGGACUCGAUGUGGUGAAUGUUGGAACUUCUUUCCAGUUGCUGGCUUCUAUCUGCCAAGUUGUGAUGUUAGCUAAGUGAGAUAAAUCAUCGGAUCCUGAAGAUGCAUUUUUAUUUUGUUGGUGGUGCAACAAAAUAAGUGGCCUUGAGGGAAACCUUGGUUAAGAUAAAAUGGCUGGACAAGAUAUUUUGUUCGUUAACAAGAGCUGAUGCAGGUCUAACUUUUUUACCUAAAGCUAGACUAUGAAGGCUGACAAUUGAAAUGCGCUUUUUUUCUGAGUUAACUGUUGCUCGGUGGACAACACUUUUGUAUAUCCCAUUGGUCAGUACUUCCAUGUGAUCUCCCAGCAGAACAGCGAGAGCUCCCUCAAUGAGUGGAACUGAAUGCCACUUUUCAUCUCGGCCCAUGAUUUGCAAGCCCUGGUGAUUUUGUAGAAUGAUGGAUAUCAUACCAUAAUCUGUGUGUGGUGGCAAUCCUAGUGUAAGAUCUGGCUCAGGACAUGCUGGAUAGCAAUUAACUGCCAUGACCUGGGAGCCUUCCGCAAUGUCUUCAUGUAACAUGGACACUUCACGACAAGUAGUACCUGGAAGAAACCAAAUUUCUUGCAAGCCAGGUGUACAUCCUGGAUUAUCUGAGACCGAAGAAGAGGGUGUUGCCGAUUGGAUAGAUCCACAAUUGGCAAGCAUGUGUUACACAGGGUUCCAUCGGGGCGUAGGGAUGGUGGAAGGACGUAACGCUUGGGAACAUAGGUUAGUCCCUUUUCAAUAAGUGUCAUGGCACUAGUAAAUGAACCAUUUGCUGAAGCUGAGCUCUCUCUCAUUCUUCCUACCAUAUUGUGUUAUGUUUAUGACUUUUUAACUCCCUAUUUAUAAGCAGGAAAAUAUGAAGAUAUGGUUGGAGCUUUAAAUUAUUUA